GCUUUCGUGAUUAGGACGUCCACUUAACUUGGAGUCCGAACUCUCACUUUCUAACCCUGUGCACUUGUUUGGGGAUAGUAACUCUCGCAAGAGAGCGAACUCCUAUUCACUUAUAAACACAAAGUCUAUGAAUGUAUUAAAUUUUAUAACAAAAUAAAACUUUCAACAACGGAUCUCUUGGCUCUCGCAUCGAUGAAGAACGCAGCGAAAUGCGAUAAGUAAUGUGAAUUGCAGAAUUCAGUGAAUCAUCGAAUCUUUGAACGCACCUUGCGCUCCAUGGUAUUCCGUGGAGCAUGCCUGUUUGAGUGUCAUGAAUACUUCAACCCUCCUCUUUCUUAAUGAUUGAAGAGGUGUUUGGUUUCUGAGCGCUGCUGGCCUUUACGGUCUAGCUCGUUCGUAAUGCAUUAGCAUCCGCAAUCGAACUUCGGAUUGACUUGGCGUAAUAGACUAUUCGCUGAGGAAUUCUAGUCUUCGGAUUAGAGCCGGGUUGGGUUAAAGGAAGCUUCUAAUCAGAAUGUCUACAUUUUAAGAUUAGAUCUCAAAUCAGGUAGGACUACCCGCUGAACUUAAGCAUAUCAAAAAGGAAGGAGGAAGGACGUCCUACUUAAAUUGGAGUCCGAACUCUCACUUUGUAACCCUGAGCUCUGUUUGGGCUAUGUACUCUUCGUUGAGAGCGAAAUUCUAUUCACUUAGAAACCUAAUCCCUUAUAAUGUCUUAGACUAUGAAUGUAUAAAAUUUUAUCAACAAAUGAGAUUUCAGAUCUGGAUCUCUUGUGAUCUACUCGACGAACAGCGCUACGAAAUGGGGUAUGUCAUGAUGACAGUGAGACAUCGUUGCAUCUGAAGUCUUGAAGCACCUGCGCUCCCGGUGAUGCAUGGCAGCUGGCGGGUGAGUGUGUGAGUACUCAUCAUCUCUUAUCUUACUGAUGAGAAGAUUAAGAGUUGAGGUGCUGGUCUGCUGGGCUGCUCGUCGUGAUGACUAUCUCCCAUCGAACUCGGAUGCUUGGGUGAGUGAACUUAUUCGUUGUACGAAUUCAGUCUUCGCAUCGAAUCGAACGGUGAGACGCUAUCAUUCACUCUGAAUAGAUUUACACUCGAGUGCAUACGCUGACAUUUGAGACUUU
rnacentral:misc_RNA from 1 species